rfam:Daphnia pulex DAPPTscaffold_267_Cont8064, whole genome shotgun sequence.
GACCUGUUAGCUUAGUUGGUUAGAGCGCCGUGGUAAUAACGCGGAGUUCAUGAGUUCGAUCCUCUUACGGGCCA